AUUGAACGCUGGCGGAAUGCUUUACACAUGCAAGUCGAACGGUAGAGGGGGCAACCCCUCGAGAGUGGCGAACGGGUGAGUAAUAUAUCGGAACGUGCCCAGUCGUGGGGGAUAACGUAGCGAAAGUUACGCUAAUACCGCAUACGAUCUACGGAUGAAAGCGGGGGAUCGCAAGACCUCGCGCGAUUGGAGCGGCCGAUAUCAGAUUAGGUAGUUGGUGGGGUAAAGGCUAACCAAGCCAAAGAUCUGUAGCUGGUCUGAGAGGACGACCCGCCACACGGGAACUGAGGCACGGUCCAGACUCGUACGGGGGGCAGCGGUGGGGAAUUUUGGACAAUGGACGCCAGUCUGAUCCAGCCAUUCCGCGUGCAGGAUGAAGGCCCUCGGGUUGUAAACUGCUUUUGUACGGAACGAAAAGGUUUCCAUUAAUACUGGGAGCUCAUGACGGUACCGUAAGAAUAAGCACCGGCUAACUACGUGCCAGCCGCCGCAGUAA
rnacentral:rRNA from 1 species